AUUGAACGCUGGCGGCAGGCCUAACACAUGCCAGUCGAGCGGAGAGGCGGCCGGGUGAGUAAUGCCUAGUAAUCUGCCUGUUAGUGGGGUCUCCCGCCCGGAAAUGGGCUCUAAUACCGCAUCCUAUAAGAUGAGUCUAGGUCGUAUUAGCUAGUUGGUGGGGUAAAGGCCUACCAAGGGGACGAUCCGUAGCUGGUCUGAGAGGAUGAUCAGUCAAACGGGGACUGAGACACGGUCCAGACUCCUACGGGAGGCAGCAGUGGGGAAGAUUGGACAAUGGGCGAAAGCCUGAUCCAGCCAUGCCGCGUGAGUGAAGAAGGUCUUCGGAUUGUAAAGCACUGUAAGUUGGGAGGCGGUACCAACAGAAGAAGCACCGGCUAACUUCGUGCCAGCAGCCGCGGUAAUAC
rnacentral:rRNA from 1 species